UUGUGCGUAAGACAGCAACUAA
rnacentral:miRNA from 1 species